UACGUAGGGGGCAAGCGUUGUCCGGAUUUAUUGGGCGUAAAGAGCUCGUAGGCGGCUUGGCAAGUCGGGUGUGAAAACUCCAGGCUCAACCUGGAGAUGCCACUCGAGACUGCUAUGGCUAGAGUCCGGUAGGGGACCACGGAAUUCCUGGUGUAGCGGUGAAAUGCGCAGAUAUCAGGAGGAACACCGGUGGCGAAGGCGGUGGUCUGGGGCCGGCACUGACGGCUGGAGGAGCGAAAGCGUGGGGAGCAAACAGG
rnacentral:rRNA from 1 species